UUUGGUGGCGAUAGCGAAGAGGUCACACCCGUUCCCAUGCCGAACACGGAAGUUAAGCUCUUCANACCGCUGGUGUACCAGUUGUUCUGCCAAGGGCAUCGCUGGGUAGCUAUGU
rnacentral:rRNA from 1 species